UGGGGAAUAUUGGACAAUGGGCGAAAGCCUGAUCCAGCCAUGCCGCGUGUGUGAAGAAGGUCUUCGGAUUGUAAAGCACUUUAAGUCGGGAGGAAGGGCUGUAGGUUAAUACCUUGCAGCCUUGACGUUACCGACAGAAUAAGCACCGGCUAACUUCGUGCCAGCAGCCGCGGUAAUACGAAGGGUGCAAGCGUUAAUCGGAAUUACUGGGCGUAAAGCGCGCGUAGGUGGUUUGGUAAGUUGGAUGUGAAAGCCCCGGGCUCAACCUGGGAACUGCAUCCAAAACUGCCUGACUAGAGUACGGUAGAGGGUGGUGGAAUUUCCUGUGUAGCGGUGAAAUGCGUAGAUAUAGGAAGGAACACCAGUGGCGAAGGCGACCACCUGGACUGAUACUGACACUGAGGUGCGAAAGCGUGGGGAGCAAACAGG
rnacentral:rRNA from 1 species